AUUGAACGCUGGCGGCAGGCUUAACACAUGCAAGUCGGGCGAGCGGCGGACGGGUGAGGAAUAUCUAGGAAACGGCCUGAUGGAGGGGGAUAACUACUGGAAACGGGAGCUAAUACCGCAUACCGUCAAAUCUGCCCAGAUUGGAUUAGCUAGGAGGUGGGUGAAUGGCGUACCGAGGCGACGAUCCCUAGCUGGUCUGAGAGGAUGACCAGCCAAACUGUAACGGAGACAGGGUCCAGACGCCUACGGGAGGCAGCAGUGGGGAAUAUUGGACAAUGGGCGCAAGCCUGAUGCACACAGGCGGCGUGUGUGAAGAAGGCCUCAGGGUUGUAAAGCACUUUCAGCGAGGAGGCGUUACUCGCAGAAGAAGCACCGGCUAACUCCGUGCCAGCAGCCGCGGUAAUAC
rnacentral:rRNA from 1 species